GGGCGCAGGGGGCGGGUGAGGGGACGCAGAGGGGCCAGCGGCUUCCCGGGGGCCAGACCGGAGCUCUGUGCAGAUUCAAGGAACCCCCUCCGCCAGCCCGGAGGAGGAGGGGGGCACGGUGCUAGGCACACAGCGGCGCCGGGCCGGGCAGGAGUUUCCGGUUACGGCACUGACCACAGAACAGCAGCAGCCCCAAAGCAGCCCAUCUGCGCGCCUGGCGGGGGCCCACACCCUCCCGUCCUGAACUUCGGACCCGGGACCGCGGAGGCAGGGCAGUUUCUGCCCACCCGGCCACCGACUCAGCGCCCAUCAGUUGGGGGCCCCCGGGGAGAGGGGCCCCGCAGCGCCGGAGGGCCCCGCCUCUGGCCGGGAGCGGACGGGGGUCAGACCUCAAACCGACUACUCACUCCAAGCGCCCCGGCGCACUUCGGGGGCCGGCCGGAGACGGGAGGGGUGGGGCGUCUCCGGAGGCUCGGGCCGCCUCCAGGCGGGGCCGGCGAGGGGCGCGGGGCGCGGGCGCCGGGCGGGCGCGGGGGCGGCGCGCGGCUCCUGCGGCUCCUCCGCGGCGCGGCCGGCAGGUGGGCGCGCGCUCGCCGGGCGGGGGUCCGGCCGGGCCGCGCGCCUCCCCCGGAACUCGGCCGUGCCAUUCCCAUGAUGCCCAGCCACCGGGCACGGCUUCCGGAGCGCGGCCGCCGCCGCCCCGCCGCCGCCGCUAUGCAUGUCCUGGUACAUCAGACCAAUGGCUCAGGGGAGUUGGAACGAUUAAUUGUUGUGGUUAACUGUAUUUGGCCUCAGGUCAAAAGUCUGUUUAAAAAGUGGGCCCAAGAUGCUACAGAGUACACGUAG
rnacentral:lncRNA from 1 species